rnacentral:rRNA from 1 species
UACGGGGGGCGCAAGCGUUGCUCGGAAUCACUGGGCGUAAAGCGUACGCAGGCGGCGCGUUAAGUCGGGUGUGAAAGCCCGGGGCUCAACCCCGGAACUGCAUUCGAUACUGGCGCGCUUGAAUACGGAAGAGGGGAGCGGAAUUCCUGGUGUAGAGGUGAAAUUCGUAGAUAUCAGGAGGAACAUCAGUGGCGAAAGCGGCUCCCUGGUCCGAUAUUGACGCUCAUGUACGAAAGCGUGGGGAGCAAACAGG